ACGUGAGGCUCACUUAGAGCCUCGCUAACGUGGGGAGGUUAGGCAUCCACUUGGGUAGCGACAGCAUCCCUUCUGGAGAAACGGCAUCCAGAGGCCGGGUUAUCAGCCCUGGUCGGAACCGUUUC
rnacentral:ncRNA from 1 species